rnacentral:piRNA from 1 species
UCAACUCCUGGCCUGGAGAGGCAGCUUCAGC